GCUCAGGGGCCUGAUUUCCACAUUUCCUUGGGAGAGACAUCGGUCAGCGAAGCAGCCCCCCUUCCCCGGCUCCUCCUGGUGCCCGCGGCCUCCCGGUGCCCCCCACCAGAGCCCCACGCUCGGCCCCAGGCCCGUGCUGCUCAGUGCCUCGUCUGCUCUGGUGCCCGUCGUCUCCCUGCUUUGGUGCACGUCCCCCACCCCGGGCAGGUGCUGGUUUACUCGGUGAGCGGCCUCCGUGUGCACAGGACGUGUGUGCUCCGGAGCCCAGAUGCAUGUGUGUUCAGCGGGUGCCCGCUGUGUGUGCUGCGUGUGUGGGCUCCGGGGGAGGGGAGGGGAGGGGAGGGGAGGGCAGGGGAGGGGCAGUGGCUCUGUUCUAUUUUUACUGGCCAGUUGCCGCGGCCCGCAGUUUUCAUAGCCUCCCCUCCGCCUGCCCCUCGCAGUCUGCGGUCUGCGGCGACACAGCCAGCCCAGCUCCCGGAGGCUCCCAGAGGUACGUGUCACAGUGUCACAGCCCCGGCCUUCGAGUCUGGGCCGGCCCUGAGGGAGAAGCUGGAGGCGGCCAGGGCUUGGCGACGGAGCGGGACCUAUACGCUGGCCUGGAGCACGGGCUGGCUGGUGGGACAGUCCCCAAACGCUCCGGCCUUCUGUCCUGGGCACGGCAUCUCUCCCGCCAGGCUGGCGGCAGGUGCCCACUGCCCAUCGGAGGCUGAGAGCCAGGAGCUGAAUUUCCCACCAGGGUGCUCCGAGGGCCCCAGGGUGGAGCCAGGCUGCCCAGCAGGUGUCGGGGGGGGAAGGGGUGCAGGGGGGGCAGGGUCGUGGCGGGAGUCGGAGCCCCGGCGGCUGCUGCGAGUCCAGGAAGAGCCUGGGCGGCGGCCGAAGUGCCAACGCCUGUGGCCGCAGCAGGUGCCCGGCUCUGUUGCACUCCGGGGCCCAGAGCUCCAGCCACAGCCCCUGCGGGCGGAAGAAGCCGUCCUGCCCCUCUGUCCUGUGUCCUGGGGGGCCGUCCUCAGCACCCCUGCCGCUGCCCGAACAGCCGGGCGAGCAGGUGAGGGCAGGCUGCCAACCCCUCGCCACGAGCUGCCCGGUCCGCCGGCCUGGCUCCGAGGAGUACGAGGUGGUUGGUGGGGCCCGGGGCCUCUGGAGGGAGGCAGGUGGGACCGCGCCUGGGCCCGGGCACCUUCUCCACGAGAACCACGGCUGGGCGCUGGGGCUGAGGCGGCACGGCCACCCCGUCGGGGUGACGGUCCCACGGGAGCUCUGAGAUUCAGCUUCCCUGUGGAGGGAAGGGGCUCCGAGGGGGCUGCGGGAGCACCACGCUUGCUCACGACCAGAGGACUGAGAUGCCCUUGA
rnacentral:lncRNA from 1 species